rnacentral:misc_RNA from 1 species
AAGUCGUAACAAGGUUUCCGUAGGUGAACCUGCGGAAGGAUCAUCACUGAAUGUGGUUUUUCUUUUGUGUGGAAAAAAACAAUGACAUUUUACAAACAAAACCAAUGAGAAACAACUUUUAACAAUGGAUCUCUUGGCUCUC